AUUGAACGCUGGCGGCAGGCCUAACACAUGCAAGUCGAGCGGAUGAAGGGAGCUUGCUCCUGGAUUCAGCGGCGGACGGGGGAGUAAUGCCUAGGAAUCUGCCUGGUAGUGGGGGAUAACGUCCGGAAACGGGCGCUAAUACCGCAUACGUCCUGAGGGAGAAAGUGGGGGAUCUUCGGACCUCACGCUAUCAGAUGAGCCUAGGUCGGAUUAGCUAGUUGGUGGGGUAAAGGCCUACCAAGGCGACGAUCCGUAACUGGACUGAGAGGAUGAUCAGUCACCCUGGAACUGGGACACCGUCCAGGCUCCUACGGGAGGCCGCAGUGGGGAAUAUUGGGCAAUGGGCGAAAGCCUGAUCCAGCCGGGCCGCGUGUGUGAAGACGGUCUUCGGAUUGUAAAGCACUUUAAGUUGGGAGGAAGGGCAGUAAGUUGAUACCUUGCUGUUUUGACGGUACCGAGAGAAUAAGCACCGGCUAACUACGUG
rnacentral:rRNA from 1 species